rnacentral:rRNA from 1 species
CAGUCGCGCGGUAAUACGUAGGUGGCAAGCGUUGUCCGGAUUUAUUGGGCGUAAAGCGAGCGCAGGCGGUCAAUUAAGUCUGAUGUGAAAGCCCCCGGCUCAACCGGGGAGGGUCAUUGGAAACUGGUUGACUUGAGUGCAGAAGAGGAGAGUGGAAUUCCAUGUGUAGCGGUGAAAUGCAUAGAUAUAUGGAGGAACACCAGUGGCGAAGGCGACUCUCUGGUCUGUAACUGACGCUGAGGCUCGAAAGCGUGGGUAGCAAACAGGAUUAGAGACCCCUGUAGUCCCUGUCUCUUAUACA